CUUGAACUGCCAWCAUUAAGCUAACUCAUUUCCUAAAUUUCUGUGGGAAGAUGUUAACAUGUAUUACACUGUCUUUUAAUUUCUGGCCAGUUUAUAUAAAAUCAGAAUUUUGUUUUUGUCACUUAAUAUAGACACGAUGAAUAAUAUAAAUCUUUAUUUUCAAGUACUUGUAUUUUGGCACUUUGAACAGCUUUUGUGUCCUGAACAGCAUUAGAAACAAAAGAAAAGGGACACCUCUUAAAGCCAGCUUCAGUGUAAAUUUAAUCAUUCAUCACUUAGGCUUAGAGUAUGAUUUUCUAUAAGGUGAGAUUUGUUGCCUGCCUGAUAGGAAUAGCUUAUAGCUCUUUCAGGAACUGAGCUUAUUUGCAUGUAACAAAGUUGUAUCAAGAUUACAGGAAGGAAAAGGCUUGCUAGUGUAGAAAAUGGAUACUGUUCUUGAKGUGUUUAUGUACACUUGAAACAAAUCAGCUGGAAAAUUCCAGGUUAAAACAGGCACUGUGUUUUUAUACAAAUCCACACCAGAUUCUCAUUGCAAGGGUCCUUUGAGCCCAUUUAUUUUUACAUUAAGUCUAUAUUCCUCACAUCAUUAUGAGUUUGUUUCCUAGUCCUAAUCCUUUGUAUUCCCAGGCUUGACUUUUAGGCACUGUAAAUUCUUUGAUUAAGCUUGUGCUGUACUUUGAGCUUAGGCUUAGAGCCUCCAUUCCUCCAAAGAGCUUUGAGUUGUUAUAAUCCCYUCCUUUCAUUACUUUGCAGAAAGGGGAGGGAGCACUUUUCCUCAUCCUCCACUGCUUUCAGGCUUGACUUUUGCGUCAGCCUCUCACCUGACUGGUCCUGCUGGGUUGCCCUCAUGACUUUUUUUCCCCCCCCUUCCUAAGUACCUAAGCAGUGUGAUGCACAGUGUAAUUCUAACAGCCCUUGUGGCAGGGAAGGUCUGGGAACAGUUUAAAACUGGGUCUAACUUUUUCUCCUUAGCCCCUUUUCCAGGACAGCCUCUAUAGGAGCGGGAGGUGCUGGCCCAGAGAAAUGGAAAAUCUGGUUCAAAAGAUGUAUACAACUUCUGGUUCAAAAUAACCCCAUCUGCAUUGGGAAAGUCUUCCGGUUCCAAGGGAGGUCCUUA
rnacentral:lncRNA from 1 species